GGCGCACGGGUGAGUAACACGUGGGAACAUACCUCAUAGUACGGAAUAACUGCGGGAAACUGUAGCUAAUACCGUAUAUUCCAGAAAUGGGAAAGAUUUAUCGCUAUGAGAUUGGCCCGCGCAAGAUUAGCUUGUUGGUAAGGUAACGGCUUACCAAGGCUCCGAUCUUUAGCUGGUUUGAGAGGAUGAUCAGCCACACUGGGACUGAGACACGGCCCAGACUCCUACGGGAGGCAGCAGUAGGGAAUAUUGGACAAUGGGGGAAACCCUGAUCCAGCAAUGCAGCGUGAGUGACGAAGGCCUUAGGGUUGUAAAACUCUUUCAUCGGUGAGGAUAAUGACAGUAGCCGAAGAAGAAGGACCGGCUAAUUCCGUGCCAGCAGCCGCGGUAAUACGGAAGGUCCUAGCGUUGUUCGGAAUUACUGGGCGUAAAGCGCAUGUAGGCGGAACAAAAAGUUAGAAGUGAAAUCCCUGGGCUCAACCUAGGAAUUGCUUUUAAAACUUUUGUUCUGGAAUUCAGGAGAGGAAAAUGGAAUUUCCAGUGUAGAGGUGAAAUUCGUAGAUAUUGGAAGGAACACCAGUGGCGAAGGCGAUUUUCUGGACUGAUAUUGACGCUGAGAUGCGAAGGCAUGGGUAGCAAACGGGAUUAGAUACCCCGGUAGUCCAUGCAGUAAACGAUGGGUGCUAGUCGUCGGACUUUUGUUCGGUGUCGUAGCUAACGCGUUAAGCACCC
rnacentral:rRNA from 1 species